CCCGAUGAAACACCCGGAGCUGAAAGUGCUGCUCUACGCGAACGGCUCCAACUUUUCCCAGCUGAACAAUCCGCCCGGCGGCAGCCAGGUGCAGUGGCUCGUCAAUGCCACGCAGACGAAGCCAUCCGAGCUGCA
rnacentral:misc_RNA from 1 species